GGGGGCGAGUGCCGUCGCCUCAGAUGCAGGCUGGGAGGUCUUGGGUCCCAGGAGCCUCUUCAGCCAGUUGGACGAGCCGGAGCUGGAGCUCAGAGUUCGAGCUGCGCAGCAGGGUCUCCCAGGGGCGUCGAUGUGGCAGCGAUGUGGAAGAAGACGACGAACGGUUUGCUGGAGGCGUUGGAGCCCGGGCAGCGAAGGAGAGGAGGAAGAGGAGCGACGAAGAGAUUCGGGAGCCCCGGCUGUGUCGCGCUUGCGCAAGAAGCACCGUUGUAUGUGCACGAAGCAAGGGAAAGCCGUAGAGUGAUAAG